CUGUCCGUAGCUCAGUUGGAUAGAGCAUCAGCCUUCUAAGCUGAAUGUCGACGGUUCGAUCCCGCCCGGACAGGCCA
rnacentral:tRNA from 1 species